GACGUAGGGGGCCAGCGUUGUUCGGAAUUACUGGGUGUAAAGGGUUCGUAGGCGGUGUGGCAAGUCGGGAGUGAAAUCUCUGGGCUCAACUCAGAGACUGCUUCCGAAACUGCUGUGCUGGAGUGUGGGAGAGGCGCGUGGAAUUGCAGGUGUAGCGGUGAAAUGCGUAGAUAUCAGGAAGAACACUGGUGGCGAAGGCGGCUCUCUGGGCCUUACCUGACGCUGAGGAGCGAAAGCGUGGGUAGCGAACAGG
rnacentral:rRNA from 1 species